UGCCUACGGGGGGCAGCAGUGGGGGAUAUUGGACAAUGGGGGGAACCCUGAUCCAGCGACGCCGCGUGAGUGAAGAAGUAUUUCGGUAUGUAAAGCUCUGUCAGCAGGGAAGAAAGCAAUGACGGUACCUGACCAAGAAGCCCCGGCUAACUACGUGCCAGCAGCCGCGGUAAUACGUAGGGGGCAAGCGUUAUCCGGAUUUACUGGGUGUAAAGGGAGCGUAGACGGCAGAGAAAGUCUGAAGUGAAAGCCCGCGGCUCAACCGCGGAACUGCUUUGGAAACUUUUCGGCUAGAGUACCGGAGG
rnacentral:rRNA from 1 species